UUUCCAUCAGGUUGUCGACAAUGUCGCCCAAUCCGACGUCGAUUAGCCAAGUAGCGGCUUCUUCCGCCUCUGCCAAAUCAAAUAGGUGAUAGUAACUCGUCUUCGGAUGAUGUGAUUUCAACCAUUGACCCGUCGUGGUUCUCCGCGCCCCAGCCAUCGUCCAGAUGGGAUUCCCCCUCGACAGCCGCCAUGGAACAAGUCCAAAUGGAGACGUUCCUUCUUUCAACGCGAGGCCGCAAAGGUGAAAAGGAGAAAGAAAAUCAAAACUUUCCCUUCUUUUCGUCUGCAAAAGAAAGCGUCUGCCGUCGUGCGAUGCAAAGGAAUAAGGAACUUUCACACUACAUCGAACACCCGACGCGCAUUCCGAAAAAAUUCGAUAGAUGUGGGAGAAAAAGAGAAUUCGAUGAAAAGGAAAACCGAUAAAAAAAAAUAAAAAAUACUACAAAAUUA